GACGAACGCUGGCGGCGUGCUUAACACAUGCAAGUCGAACGGCAAGGCCCUGCUUUUGUUGGGUGCUCGAGUGGCGAACGGGUGAGUAACACGUGAGUAACCUGCCCUUGACUUUGGGGUAACUUCAGGAAACUGGGGCUAAUACCGGAUAGGAGCUCCUGCUGCAUGGUGGGGGUUGGAAAGUUUCGGCGGUUGGGGAUGGACUCGCGGCUUAUCAGCUUGUUGGUGGGGUAGUGGCUUACCAAGGCUUUGACGGGUAGCCGGCCUGAGAGGGUGGCCGGCGACAUGGGGACUGAGAUACGGACCAGACUCCUACGGGAGGCAGCAGUGGGGAAUAUUGCACAAUGGGGGGAAGCCUGAUGCAGCAACGCCGCGUGCGGGAUGACGGCCUGCGGGUUGUAAACCGCUUUCGCCUGUGACGAAGCGUGAGUGACGGUAAUGGGUAAAGAAGCACCGGCUAACUACGUG
rnacentral:rRNA from 1 species